rnacentral:rRNA from 1 species
AUAAUAAUACAGGACUCUUUCCAGGCCCUGUAAUUGUAAUGAGUCCACUUUAAAUCCUUUAACUAGGAUCAAUUGGAGGGCAAGUCUGGUGCAGAGCGACUGACCCGUGCGUGCUGCAGUUGAAACUCCACUAUUGCCUGCUGCUG